rnacentral:rRNA from 1 species
UACGUAGGGGGCUAGCGUUGUCCGGAUUUAUUGGGCGUAAAGAGCUCGUAGGUGGCUUGUCACGUCGGGUGUGAAAGCUUGGGGCUUAACUCCAGGUCUGCAUUCGAUACGGGCUGGCUAGAGGUUGGUAGGGGAGAACGGAAUUCCUGGUGUAGCGGUGAAAUGCGCAGAUAUCAGGAGGAACACCGGUGGCGAAGGCGGUUCUCUGGGCCUUACCUGACGCUGAGGAGCGAAAGCGUGGGGAGCGAACAGG